AUUUUGUCCCAGAUGAGUUUUGUCCUGACCCAGUUCCUGAUGCUGUGCUUGAAGCUCUUGAAUCCGAGGAAAAAGCUGAGAAGGGUAUGAUCACAAGCUAUCCAUGCACUGCACCUCCUCCAGUGUACUCUCCACCUUCAGGG